GAUGAACGCUGGCGGCGCGCCUAACACAUGCAAGUCGAACGGCACCCCUCUCCGGAGGGAAGCGAGUGGCGAACGGCUGAGUAACACGUGGAGAACCUGCCCCCUCCCCCGGGAUAGCCGCCCGAAAGGACGGGUAAUACCGGAUACCCCGGGGUGCCGCAUGGCACCCCGGCUAAAGCCCCGACGGGAGGGGAUGGCUCCGCGGCCCAUCAGGUAGACGGCGGGGUGACGGCCCACCGUGCCGACAACGGGUAGCCGGGUUGAGAGACCGACCGGCCAGAUUGGGACUGAGACACGGCCCAGACUCCUACGGGAGGCAGCAGUGGGGAAUCUUGCGCAAUGGGGGGAACCCUGACGCAGCGACGCCGCGUGCGGGACGGAGGCCUUCGGGUCGUAAACCGCUUUCAGCAGGGAAGAGUCAAGACUGUACCUGCAGAAGAAGCCCCGGCUAA
rnacentral:rRNA from 1 species